rnacentral:misc_RNA from 1 species
UUUCCGUUGGUGAACCUGCGGAAGGAUCAUUAUUGUAUAACCGAGGUGCGAGGGCUGUCGCUGACCCGAAAGGUCGUGCACGCCCGAGUGCCCUCACACACAUCCAUCUCACCCCUAUGUGCACCACCGCGUGGGUCCCCCUUUGGCUUGUUCGGAGGGGGGCUUACGUUUACACACAAACUUUGUAUGCAGUGUAGAAUGUAUUUUUUGUUUUUGCGAUCACGCAAUCAAUACAACUUUCAACAACGGAUCUCUUGGCUCUC